GACGAACGCUGGCGGCGUGCCUAAUACAUGCAAGUCGAGCGAGUCUGCCUUGAAGAUCGGAGUGCUUGCACUCUGUGAAACAAGAUACAGGCUAGCGGCGGACGGGUGAGUAACACGUGGGUAACCUGCCCAAGAGAUCGGGAUAACACCUGGAAACAGAUGCUAAUACCGGAUAACAACAGAUGAUGCCUAUCAACUGUUUAAAAGAUGGUUCUGCUAUCACUCUUGGAUGGACCUGCGGUGCAUUAGCUAGUUGGUAGGGUAACGGCCUACCAAGGCGAUGAUGCAUAGCCGAGUUGAGAGACUGAUCGGCCACAUUGGGACUGAGACACGGCCCAAACUCCUACGGGAGGCAGCAGUAGGGAAUCUUCCACAAUGGACGCAAGUCUGAUGGAGCAACGCCGCGUGAGUGAAGAAGGGUUUCGGCUUGUAAAGCUCUGUUGUUGGUGAAGAAGGACAGGGGUAGUAACUGACCUUUGUUUGACGGUAAUCAAUUAGAAAGUCACGGCUAACUACGUG
rnacentral:rRNA from 1 species